rnacentral:rRNA from 1 species
GUGUCAGCAGCCGCGGUAAUACAGAGGUGCCAAGCGUUAGGCGGAAUCACUGGGCUUAAAGCGCGUGUAGGCGGGUCGUUAAGUGUCUUGUGAAAUCCCACGGCUCAACCGUGGAACUGCUGGGCAUACUGACGAUCUUGAGGCACUCAGGGGCUGUCGGAACAAAUGGUGGAGCGGUGAAAUGCGUAGAUAUCAUUUGGAACGCCAACGGUGAAAACAGACAGCUGGGGGUGUCCUGACGCUGAGACGCGAAAGCCAGGGGAGCGAACGGGAUUAGAUACCCCUGUAGUCC